rnacentral:rRNA from 1 species
AGUGAACGCUGGCGGUAGGCCUAACACAUGCAAGUCGAACGGCAGCACAGGGGAGCUUGCUCUCUGGGUGGCGAGUGGCGGACGGGUGAGGAAUACAUCGGAAUCUACUCUGUCGUGGGGGAUAACGUGGGGAAACUUACGCUAAUACCGCAUACGACCUACGGGUGAAAGCAGGGGAUCUUCGGACCUUGCGCGAUUGAAUGAGCCGAUGUCGGAUUAGCUAGUUGGCGGGGUAAAGGCCCACCAAGGCGACGAUCCGUAGCUGGUCUGAGAGGAUGAUCAGCCACACUGGAACUGAGACACGGUCCAGACUCCUACGGGAGGCAGCAGUGGGGAAUAUUGGACAAUGGGCGCAAGCCUGAUCCAGCCAUACCGCGUGGGUGAAGAAGGCCUUCGGGUUGUAAAGCCCUUUUGUUGGGAAAGAAAUCCAGCUGGCUAAUACCCGGUUGGGAUGACGGUACCCAAAGAAUAAGCACCGGCUAACUUCGUGCCAGCAGCCGCCGCCG